rnacentral:rRNA from 1 species
CCUACGGGAGGCAGCAGUGGGGAAUAUUGCACAAUGGGGGAAACCCUGAUGCAGCGACGCCGCGUGAAGGAAGAAGUAUUUCGGUAUGUAAACUUCUAUCAGCAGGGAAGAAAAUGACGGUACCUGACUAAGAAGCCCCGGCUAACUACGUGCCAGCCGCCGCGGUAAUACGUAGGGGGCAAGCGUUAUCCGGAUUUACUGGGUGUAAAGGGGGCGUAGGCGGUUUAGCAAGUCAGAAGUGAAAGCCCGGGGCUCAACUCCGGGACUGCUUUUGAAACUGUUGAACUAGAUUGCAGGAGAGGUAAGUGGAAUUCCUAGUGUAGCGGUGAAAUGCGUAGAUAUUAGGAGGAACACCAGUGGCGAAGGCGGCUUACUGGACUGUAAAUGACGUUGAGGCUCGAAAGCGUGGGGAUCAAACAGGAUUAGAUACCCUUGUAGUC